rnacentral:rRNA from 1 species
UUAAGCGACUAAGCGUACACGGUGGAUGCCCUGGCAGUCAGAGGCGAUGAAGGACGUGCUAAUCUGCGAAAAGCGUCGGUAAGGUGAUAUGAACCGUUAUAACCGGCGAUGUCCGAAUGGGGAAACCCAGUGCAAUUCGUUGCACUAUCGUUAACUGAAUACAUAGGUUAACGAGGCGAACCGGGGGAACUGAAACAUCUAAGUACCCCGAGGAAAAGAAAUCAACCGAGAUUCCCCCAGUAGCGGCGAGCGAACGGGGAGCAGCCCAGAGUCUGAAUCAGCUUGUGUGUUAGUGGAACGGUCUGGAAAGUCCGACGGUACAGGGUGAUAGUCCCGUACACCAAAAUGCACAGGUUGUGAACUCGAAGAGUAGGGCGGGACACGUGGUAUCCUGUCUGAAUAUGGGGGGACCAUCCUCCAAGGCUAAAUACUCCUGACUGACCGAUAGUGAACCAGUACCGUGAGGGAAAGGCGAAAAGAACCCCGGCGAGGGGAGUGAAAAAGAACCUGAAACCGUGUACGUACAAGCAGUGGGAGCACCUUCGGGUGUGACUGCGUACCUUUUGUAUAAUGGGUCAGCGACUUAUAUUCUGUAGCAAGGUUAACCGUAUAGGGGAGCCGCAGGGAAACCGAGUCUUAACUGGGCGUUAAGUUGCAGGGUAUAGACCCGAAACCCGGUGAUCUAGCCAUGGGCAGGUUGAAGGUUGGGUAACACUAACUGGAGGACCGAACCGACUAAUGUUGAAAAAUUAGCGGAUGACUUGUGGCUGGGGGUGAAAGGCCAAUCAAACCGGGAGAUAGCUGGUUCUCCCCGAAAGCUAUUUAGGUAGCGCCUCGUGAACUCAUCUUCGGGGGUAGAGCACUGUUUCGGCUAGGGGGUCAUCCCGACUUACCAACCCGAUGCAAACUACGAAUACCGAAGAAUGUUAUCACGGGAGACACACGGCGGGUGCUAACGUCCGUCGUGAAGAGGGAAACAACCCAGACCGCCAGCUAAGGUCCCAAAGUCAUGGUUAAGUGGGAAACGAUGUGGGAAGGCACAGACAGCCAGGAUGUUGGCUUAGAAGCAGCCAUCAUUUAAAGAAAGCGUAAUAGCUCACUGGUCGAGUCGGCCUGCGCGGAAGAUGUAACGGGGCUAAACCAUGCACCGAAGCUGCGGCAGCGACACUAUGUGUUGUUGGGUAGGGGAGCGUUCUGUAAGCCUGCGAAGGUGACCUGUGAGGGUUGCUGGAGGUAUCAGAAGUGCGAAUGCUGACAUAAGUAACGAUAAAGCGGGUGAAAAGCCCGCUCGCCGGAAGACCAAGGGUUCCUGUCCAACGUUAAUCGGGGCAGGGUGAGUCGACCCCUAAGGCGAGGCCGAAAGGCGUAGUCGAUGGGAAACAGGUUAAUAUUCCUGUACUUGGUGUUACUGCGAAGGGGGGACGGAGAAGGCUAUGUUAGCCGGGCGACGGUUGUCCCGGUUUAAGCAUGUAGGCUGGUUGUCCAGGCAAAUCCGGAUAAUCAAGGCUGAGGUGUGAUGACGAGGCACUACGGUGCUGAAGUAACAAAUGCCCUGCUUCCAGGAAAAGCCUCUAAGCAUCAGGUAACAUCAAAUCGUACCCCAAACCGACACAGGUGGUCAGGUAGAGAAUACCAAGGCGCUUGAGAGAACUCGGGUGAAGGAACUAGGCAAAAUGGUGCCGUAACUUCGGGAGAAGGCACGCUGGUGUGUAGGUGAAGUCCCUGCGGAUGGAGCUGAGACCAGUCGAAGAUACCAGCUGGCUGCAACUGUUUAUUAAAAACACAGCACUGUGCAAACACGAAAGUGGACGUAUACGGUGUGACGCCUGCCCGGUGCCGGAAGGUUAAUUGAUGGGGUUAUCCGUAAGGAGAAGCUCUUGAUCGAAGCCCCGGUAAACGGCGGCCGUAACUAUAACGGUCCUAAGGUAGCGAAAUUCCUUGUCGGGUAAGUUCCGACCUGCACGAAUGGCGUAAUGAUGGCCAGGCUGUCUCCACCCGAGACUCAGUGAAAUUGAACUCGCUGUGAAGAUGCAGUGUACCCGCGGCAAGACGGAAAGACCCCGUGAACCUUUACUAUAGCUUGACACUGAACAUUGAGCCUUGAUGUGUAGGAUAGGUGGGAGGCUUUGAAGCGUGGACGCCAGUCUGCGUGGAGCCAACCUUGAAAUACCACCCUUUAAUGUUUGAUGUUCUAACGUUGGCCCCUUACCGGGGUUGCGGACAGUGUCUGGUGGGUAGUUUGACUGGGGCGGUCUCCUCCCAAAGCGUAACGGAGGAGCACGAAGGUUAGCUAAUCCUGGUCGGACAUCAGGAGGUUAGUGCAAUGGCAUAAGCUAGCUUGACUGCGAGCGUGACGGCGCGAGCAGGUGCGAAAGCAGGUCAUAGUGAUCCGGUGGUUCUGAAUGGAAGGGCCAUCGCUCAACGGAUAAAAGGUACUCCGGGGAUAACAGGCUGAUACCGCCCAAGAGUUCAUAUCGACGGCGGUGUUUGGCACCUCGAUGUCGGCUCAUCACAUCCUGGGGCUGAAGUAGGUCCCAAGGGUAUGGCUGUUCGCCAUUUAAAGUGGUACGCGAGCUGGGUUUAGAACGUCGUGAGACAGUUCGGUCCCUAUCUGCCGUGGGCGCUGGAGAAUUGAGGGGGGCUGCUCCUAGUACGAGAGGACCGGAGUGGACGCAUCACUGGUGUUCGGGUUGUCAUGCCAAUGGCACUGCCCGGUAGCUAAAUGCGGAAGAGAUAAGUGCUGAAAGCAUCUAAGCACGAAACUUGCCCCGAGAUGAGUUCUCCCUGAGACUUUAAGUCUCCUGAAGGAACGUUAAAGACGAUGACGUUGAUAGGCCGGGUGUGUAAGCGCAGCGAUGCGUUGAGCUAACCGGUACUAAUGAACCGUGAGGCUUAACCUU